AUACGGAGGAUGCAAGCGUUAUCCGGAUUUAUUGGGUUUAAAGGGUGCGUAGGCGGUUUGUUAAGCGGGAGGUGAAAUGCCGGCGCUCAACGUCGGAAGUGCCUCCCGAACUGGUGGACUGGAAUGACUCUGCCGUGGGAGGAAUGUGUAGUGUAGCGGUGAAAUGCUUAGAGAUUACACAGAACACCGAUUGCGAAGGCAUCUCACGAAGGGUUGAUUGACGCUGAGGCACGAAAGCGUGGGGAUCAAACAGGAUUAGAUACCCUGGUAGUCCACGCAGUAAACGAUGAUGGCUAACCGCUGGUUUAUUCGGAUCAGUGGCCAAGCGAAAGCGAUAAGCCAUCCACCUGGGGAGUACGACCGCAAGGUUGAAACUCAAAUGAAUUGACGGGG
rnacentral:rRNA from 1 species